GGGAAUGUGGCUUAGUGGUAGAGUGUUUGCCUUGCAUGCAUGUUGCCCUGGGUUUGAUUCCUCAGUACCA
rnacentral:tRNA from 1 species